rnacentral:rRNA from 1 species
GAUCAUGGCUCAGGAUGAACGCUAGCGGCAGGCUUAACACAUGCAAGUCGAGGGGCAGCAUAAUGGAUAGCAAUAUCUAUGGUGGCGACCGGCGCACGGGUGCGUAACGCGUAUGCAACCUACCUUUAACAGGGGGGAUAACACUGAGAAAUUGGUACUAAUACCCCAUAAUAUCAUAGAAGGCAUCUUUUAUGGUUGAAAAUUCCGGAAUGGUUAGAGGUGGGCAUGCGUUGUA